AUAGAGAAAGAAAAGUGGGCCCAGUGGACCGGCGCUCAGCAUACGGAGCACAAAUCCUAUUUAAACUACAGAUUCUAAACACAAAUGAUUUUAUUCACCCCUGCCCCCCAACACUAAAAGAUUUAAACACUAACAUAGUUUCUAACAGCUGUAAACUAAACAAAUCCUAAGCCCCUACUGACUGAAUGGAACCCCUUUUGGCCAAGAUGGCCCCAGAAAAAAACUUAGAAACUUAGUUCCCAGCCCUGAUGGAAUGUGAGGUCAGACAUGCCUCAUUAUACCCUCUCUCUUUUACAGUUUAGAUACAACUGGCCAGCAUUGAUGUUAAAAUAGAGACCAUGAGACUGAUGGAACAGACUUUUUGUGGCAAUAAGAUACAAAAAUUAUAAACAAGACCUAAGGCCAUUCCAGGAAAGAUCCAAGAGGCCCUUUGCCAAUUCCAACUGGAACAUCCAACAUCGGACACUAAUCCAGCCAACUGCCAUAACUACAGCUUUGAUUAGACAAGAGACUGAUUUCAACAACUUUCUCCUGAUAAGAAGAUCAUGGACUAUGGAAUGGACUGGUUCUGGUUUACAGAGGCUGUGUACUUGCGUGCCUUGAUGUCCUGAAAGACCUUUUGACAGAUAGGGCCUAAUGAAUCCAGACAAGGUGCUACAUAUUGGAGGCUCUUCACACAUACCACCAGAAUCAAGACCCAGAUGUAAGAGAGACAACAAUACAAAACCAUCCAAGUAGAGCUUAAUUCACAGGCUUUAAAUUAUGCUUUUCAAAAACAAAUUUUCAAAAAGUUUCCCAUAGUCAAACCCAUCAGACAUUUAUGAUUCUUCCCCUAUUUUUAUGCUUAUAAAAGAAAGCAUUUUCCCCUACUGAAAAUAAAACUUUUACUUUUGUUUUCUUUUAGUUGUUUUAUGGAUUCAUUUAUAAAUCACUGUUUCUCUCUCUUCGGAAAUUAUUUAGUGUAUGUUGUAAGGGAUCUUUUUUCUUUCCAAUCAUUAUGCCCUUUCCCCAGUGCUAAUUUUGGAAUAAUUCUUUCCCUCACUAGUUGUUAAACCACCUUUAUCAUACAGUAAAUUCUUGUUAAUAUAUAUUUUAUAUAUUUUCCGGAGCAUCCUGCCUAAUGUACCUGUCAAUUCUUAUGUUGGUUCCAGUCCUAAAAAAAUAAAUCAGACUCAAACUCAUGAUUCAUAGUCCUCAUAGGAUUUGCCUUUUGAAACAGCAGGACCCUCACCCUGUCCAAAGUUCCCUGUACACCAUGUGCUAUUGCUGACUGGCCCUCUUAAUAAAUUUAAUCCAUCCACUCUAACACUAACUCACACCAGCUACAGAAGACAGUAGCUAGUGCAGUGGAGAGAACCCAGCCAAUGACAGACCCAACACGCACACACUGGGAUAGGAAAGAAAAUCCAAAACAGAGCUCUGAAUUAUCCUGAGUGGAAAAAAAAAAACCAAAAACAAAAUACUACAAACUGUAUGACUCCAUCUAUGUAACAUUUUUGAAACAACAAACUUGUAGAAAUGGUGAACAGAUUAGUGGUUGCCAUGAAUUAGAGUUGGUUUGGGGAGUAACAGAGAGGUAUGUUUGGUGAUAAAAGUGCAACAGGAGGGCUCUUUGUGCUAAUAGAAACAUUUUCAUUUAACUAUAGUGGUGGAUACACAAACCAACAUUUGAUAAAAUUAUAUAGGACUAAAUACAUACACAAAGUACACAUCAAACUGGGGAAAUCUGAGUAUGAUUGGUGGACUGUUUUGUUGUCAAUAUCUUCACUGUGAUGUUGUACUAUACUUUUGCAAUAUGUUACUAUUGAGUGAAACUGAGUAAAGGGUAAGGAAUCUCUGUAUUAUUUCUUACAACUGCAUGUGACUCUAUAAUUAGCUCGACAAAAAUUUCAGUUGAAAAAAAGCAAGGGUCUUUCCUUGAUUAUUAACUUGUUUUAAAGCAACUGAUUGGAAACCUACCUUGAAAUUGCAAUGUAAUUGCAAUCUAUUUAAAGCAGUGGUGUUCAACAGACCUUUCUGCAAGGAUGGAAAUAUCCUAAAUCUGUACUGCCCAAUACAGUGACCACUAACACAUGCACAUAUUGAGCACUGGAGAUGUGGCUAGUGCAACUAAAAAACUGAAUUACAAAUUUUGCUUAAUUUGAAUUUAUGUUUAAAUGGCCACCUGUGAUAGUGGCAACCUAUGGGACAGCACAGAAAUGAAACUUGACCUUAUUCCCAAUUCCCUUGUAAGUAGGAAGGAGGAACACUCACUUUGAAACCAUGCAAUUGUCCCAUAGGACAGAUGUUUAUGGUCUCUUUUUUUUUCCUUUUUUUUUUUUUUGAGAGGGAGUCACUCUGUUGCCCAGGCUGG
rnacentral:lncRNA from 1 species